GUCUACAGCCAUACCACCCUGAACACACCUGACCUUGUCCGAUCUCAGAAGCUAAGCAGGGUCAAGCCUGGUUAGUAUUCGGAUGGGAGACUACCUAAGACUACUGGGUACUGUAGGCC
ensembl:rRNA 5S_rRNA 5S ribosomal RNA